GACAGACUUAAAUAUUUUAUAUUCUUCUAUAAAAUUAAUCUUAAUUCAACAUCGAGGUCGCAAACUUUUUUUUCAAUAUGAUCUUUCUAAAAAAAUUACGCUGUUAUCCCUAAAGUAAUUUAUUUUAAAUUAAUAAUUAUUGAUUUAAAAUUCAAAUAUUAUUGUAUUUUAAAAUUAAAAAAAUUUUUUUAAUUUUUAUAUCACCCCAAUAAAAUAAAAUUAAAUAUUAAUUCUAUAUAUUAAUAUUUAUUCUUAUUAAAUUUUAUAGGGUCUUCUCGUCUUUUAAUAAUAUUUAAGAAUUUUUACUUAAAAUUAAUUUCAAUAUAUUAAAUUGAGACAGUCAUUUUUUCAUUUAUUCAUUCAUUCCAGACUUAAAUAAUAAGACAAAUGAUUAUGCUACCUUUGUACAGUCAAAAUACUGCAGCUAUUUAAAAAUUUCAUUGAGCAGAACAGAUUUAAUAUUAAUUUUCAAUAAACCAUGUUUUUGAUAAAC
rnacentral:rRNA from 1 species